rnacentral:rRNA from 1 species
CAGGAUGAACGCUGGCGGUCUGCUUAACACAUGCAAGUCGAACGAAUCCCUUCGGGGAUUAGUGGCGGACGGGUGAGUAGCGCGUGAGAAUCUGCCUUCAGGUUCGGGACAACCACUGGAAACGGUGGCUAAUACCGAAUGUGCCGCAACGUGAAAGAUUUAUCGCCUGAAGAUGAGCUCGCGUCCGAUUAGCUAGUUGGUGAGGUAAAAGCUCACCAAGGCGACGAUCGGUAGCUGGUCUGAGAGGAUGACCAGCCACACUGGGACUGAGACACGGCCCAGACUCCUACGGGAGGCAGCAGUGGGGAAUUUUCCGCAAUGGGCGCAAGCCUGACGGAGCAAGACCGCGUGAGGGAGGAAGGCCCAAGCGGUUGUAAACCCCUUUUCUCAGGGAAGAAGAAAGUGACGGUACCUGAGGAAUCAGCCUCGGCUAACUCCGUGCCAGCAGCCGCGGUAAUACGGAGGAGGCAAGCGUUAUCCGGAAUUAUUGGGCGUAAAGCGUCCGUAGGUGGUUAUGUAAGUCUGCUGUCAAAGCACAGGGCUUAACCCUGUAAAGGCAGUGGAAACUACAAGACUCGAGUGCGGUAGGGGCAGAGGG